UGAAACACGUUGAAGAGAAGAGUAACUUUGAUGGAUUACCUUUUAAGCGAGUCUCAGUUAGUGUAAGGAGAUAAGGGUCUGUCUCAGUGAAAGUAAGCUCUGAGUGGUCAAUGCGACGCCAAUUAGCGAAGUUUUGAAUGGGUGCGCCCUUUAUAGCGUCAACGUCUUGCAUUUGCAGUACGGGGUAAGGUGAAAAUAGUGAUAUUUUCAUGAAUAAAGGUGGUAACGCGCUAAUUGGCGUCCUUUCA
rnacentral:ncRNA from 1 species